rnacentral:piRNA from 1 species
UGGAUUUAGACCUCUAGCCAGCCU